AGAAGAAUAGCAUAAUUGGGUUUUUAGUGCUGAUCAGGUGGUUACUGAUGGCGCAGAUAUUAACAGAGGUGGAUGACUCGGAAUGGAAUGGCGUCGUGGCUCCAACCAGCUCAAUUGGCUAUUCUAAUGGAGAUAACGACUUGGCCCGUACCGCGCUUCAGGUUAUAUUUCUGUCGCUAUUUCUUUUUAAUUGUCUUGUAUAAUUCUUAAACUACUGCUGGUUGCUCCUGUUAUAAUAAUCUUUUUUAUUCCUCCUUCCUAUUAAGUCGCAAUACUAAAUUCUAGAGUCUUUUUAGGUUGACCUGUGCUGUUGGGGCCUGUCAUUUAGGAUUGAUGUGAUCAUGUUAAUAAUAAAUUGUAUCGGGUUUGAAUUUAGUAUGACUGGAAUGAGAAGAAUCAUUCGAGCUCAUUUAGAAGCCAAAAGGUUCCGUUCUCCUGCUUUCACGGGAAGUAAACGCUAAUAAAAAUUACUUUUAGAAGUUACGAAUAAAAUUAUACAAAUAGAGAGAGUACAAUCUACUUCUUUCUUAUAACUAUGGAUGUAGAUAUUUAUUCACUGGAAGUACUGAAAGUGACUUACUUGCUCAUCUUGUAUGUUACAUAUAUAAACUUUUAAUUUGAGAUAUGAAUUUGAUUGUUAGUUGAUUUGUUUUGCUAGAUAUGAUGUAACAUGGAACUGCAUUGUUAUUUACAUUGUGUACAGAUUUUAGGACACUAACUAUAACUAACAUAGUGAAUAGCAGACAAUAGGAUUUUCAUGAGAAGAGCUCCUGACCACGAAGUUGGUAUAUGGUGAGUUGCAGAUCGUUUGUUUCAUAAAUUGAAAGCACAGGUACAGGUAACGACUUGAUUUAAGACUUGAAUGAGUUGGAUAAAAGUCAGGUGACUAUUGUAAUGUUUUCACAAGUUAGUUAAUUAUCGCGAUAUCAUAUUUUUGCUUAGCAAGUUUAAUUUUUUUAUCGUGUUUAUUAUGGUAAGGUCUUAAAUUUCUUAAACAUGGAGCUGUCACAUUUUUGAAAAAAUCUCAGAAUUGGUAUACCAUGUUCCUUAAUAAUCAUAAAGCCAAGCAAAUGGACUUGAGAGAUCUCUUUUAACUAUAAAUUGCCAUUUUCUACUGAGAUAGAAGGAUUUAGCUUAGAGCCCCAUGUUUAGAUUUUAUGAGACAAAUUUUAGUGCGAGUAAAUCUUGUCUUGCCAUUAGUUGUAUAUUUUGGUAUGUCCAACAAACGGUAUAUCUGAAAAUUCUUAUCGACUAUAGGAACUUUCGAAUUUAUGAAGAGGGUUGUUAACAGCAACAAACUGAAGAGGUUAAGAAGGAGCUUAGAACUACAAAUUUUAAUAUCUCACUUUCAAAGCAUAGAGGCCAACAUGCUCUCAGAAAAUUGUACCAUGAAAGUCGCGGUGCUUAUAUGUAUUCUAUACAUAUCACCGACCUGUGAUCCCAGGAGGACCUUGAAGCCAAUCCCCACCAAGUUACAAAUUUUUUUUGACAUUUCAUAUGUAUUUCAGACUAUUAUAACAUGUCAGAUUUUAGUAUGACUUAAGGACGAGAAUUUUGUGGCUAAUAAGUUUGUGUUUUAUAUGCUUACUCUUGAGAUAUGGGUCGUCUUAUGUGGAUUUCAUUUUUUCUAUACUUGGGUUCUGGCAUUGUUUUAAGGUCAGUACAUAAGGGUUUGGAACGAAGAUCAUCUAAAAUCUAACUAUCUUACUUGAACAAUGCUUUAAAGAGACAAAUCAUGCAGAACACUUUCAAGA